rnacentral:sRNA from 1 species
ACUGCGCUACGAAGUUUGGUGAUCCAUCUUCUGAGUAUCGCCGGAAUUUCGAAUCGCGAUGAUCAUCCCCUCUCUAGAGGAGCUGGACUCCCUCAAGUACAGUGACCUGCAGAACUUAGCCAAAAGUCUGGGUCUCCGGGCCAACCUGAGGGCAGACAAGUUGUUAAAAGCCUUGAAAGGCCACAUUAAACAUGAGGCAAGAAAAGGAAAUGAUAAUCAGGAUGAAAGUCAAACUUCUGCAUCCUCUUGUGAUGAGACUGAGAUACAGAUCAGCAACCAGGAACAAGCUGAGAGAGAGCCACUUGGCCAUGUCACCAAAACAAGGAGAAGGUGCAAGACUGUCCAUGUGGACCCUGACUCACAGGUGAAUGGAAAUAUACAAACUGAAAAUAUACCACCUAUGCCAAAAUUGGCAUACUUUUACGGAGAUUUCUUUUUAAAUUCCCAUGUGAUGUCAUGUGUUUGUAAGCUUGCUGUGUGCUGUAAGCUCCAUGAAAGCCCAGACCCAAGUCCAGCUGCUCAUCACUG